rnacentral:rRNA from 1 species
GAAGCGGCAACAGCUCAAAUUUGAAAUCUGGCGCAAGCCCGAGUUGUAAUUUGUAGAGGAUGCUUCUAGGUAGCGACCGGUCUAAGUUCCUUGGAACAGGACGUCAUAGAGGGUGAGAAUCCCGUAUGUGACCGGCCCGCACCUUCUACGUAGCUCCUUCGACGAGUCGAGUUGUUUGGGAAUGCAGCUCUAAAUGGGAGGUAAAUUUCUUCUAAAGCUAAAUACCGGCCAGAGACCGAUAGCGCACAAGUAGAGUGAUCGAAAGAUGAAAAGCACUUUGGAAAGAGAGUUAAAAAGCACGUGAAAUUGUUGAAAGGGAAGCGCUUACAACCAGACUUCUGGGCGGUGUUCCGCCGGUCUUCUGACCGGUCUACUCGCCGUCCCGAGGCCAACAUCAUCUGGGACCGCUGGAUAAGACCUGAGGAAUGUAGCUCCCCUCGGGGAGUGUUAUAGCCUCUGGUGAUGCAGCGCGUCUCGGGUGAGGUCCGCGCUUCGGCAAGGAUGUUGGCGUAAUGGUUGUCAGCGGCCCGUCUUGAAACACGGACCAAGGAGUCUAACAUCUAUGCGAGUGUUCGGGUGUCAAACCCCUACGCGUAAUGAAAGUGAACGGAGGUGGGAAGGGUAACCUGCACCAUCGACCGAUCCUGAUGUCCUCGGAUGGAUUUGAGUAAGAGCAUAGCUGUUGGGACCCGAAAGAUGGUGAACUAUGCCUGAAUAGGGUGAAGCCAGAGGAAACUCUGGUGGAGGCUCGCAGCGGUUCUGACGUGCAAAUCGAUCGUCAAAUUUGGGUAUAGGGGCGAAAGACU